CACGACUACAUUAGAUACCCGGGUAGUCCCAGCCGUAAACUAUGCUCGCUAGGUGUCAGGCAUGGCGCGACCGUGUCUGGUGCCGCAGGGAAGCCGUGAAGCGAGCCACCUGGGAAGUACGGCCGCAAGGCUGAAACUUAAAGGAAUUGGCGGGGGAGCACAACAACGGGUGGAGCCUGCGGUUUAAUUGGACUCAACGCCGGACAACUCACCGGGGACGACAGCAAUAUGUAGGCCAGGCUGAAGACCUUGCCUGAAUCGCUG
rnacentral:rRNA from 1 species